rnacentral:rRNA from 1 species
AUUGAACGCUGGCGGCAGGCCUAACACAUGCAAGUCGAGCGAGCGGCGGACGGGUGAGUAAUGUAUGGGGAACUGCCUGAUAGAGGGGGAUAACUACUGGAAACGGUGGCUAAUACCGCAUACGAUCGGAUGAACCCAUAUGGGAUUAGCUAGUAGGGGGGGUAAAGGCUCACCAAGGCGACGAUCUCUAGCUGGUCUGAGAGGAUGAUCAGCCACAUUGGGACGGUGACACGGCCCAGAGUCCUGCAUGAGGGAGCAGUGGAGAAUAUUGCACAAUGGACGAAAGCCUGAUGCAGCCAUGCCGCGUGUAUGAAGAAGGCCUUAGGGUUGUAAAGUACUUUCAGCGGGGAGGCGUUACCCGCAGAAGAAGCACCGGCUAACUCCGUGCCAGCAGCCGCGGUAAGUC